GGGGAUUUAGCUCAGUGGUAGAGCACUUGCCUAGCAAGCACAAGGCCCUGGGUUCAGUCCCCA
rfam:Rattus norvegicus chromosome 5, whole genome shotgun sequence.